UACAGAGGUGGCAAGCGUUGUUCGGAAUUACUGGGCGUAAAGGGCGCGUAGGCGGCCUACUAAGUCAGACGUGAAAUCCCCCGGCUUAACCUGGGAACUGCGUCUGAUACUGGAAGGCUUGAGGAUGGGAGAGGGAUGUAGAAUUCCAGGUGUAGCGGUGAAAUGCGUAGAUGUCUGGAGGAAUACCGGUGGCGAAGGCGGCAUCCUGGACCGGCAUUGACGCUGAGGAGCGAAAGCCAGGGGAGCAAACGGG
rnacentral:rRNA from 1 species